rnacentral:rRNA from 1 species
GACGGAAGGUGCAAGCGUUGCUCGGAAUCACUGGGCGUAAAGGGUGCGUAGGCGGCCGUGCAAGUCUGGCGUGAAAGCCCCGGGCUCAGCCCGGGAAGUGCGCUCGAAACUGCGCGGCUCGAGUGCCGGAGGGGAGAGUGGAAUUCCUGGUGUAGCGGUGAAAUGCGCAGAUAUCAGGAGGAACACCGGUGGCGAAGGCGGGUCUCUGGGCCGAUACUGACGCUGAGGAGCGAAAGCGUGGGGAGCGAACAGG